rnacentral:lncRNA from 1 species
AUCGAAAGGAUGAAACAGAUCUAUCAGCAGCUUUCACGAUAUAGAGGACUAGGUCUUCUGGCAUCAGUACCUUCUAAUCCUAAUGGGAAUGGAGGCUUCAUGGGAUAUUCUGCAGAAAAUAUCCCAGGUUGUAGCAGCAGUGGAAGUUGCUCUCAAGGGAGUGGUAUUUUACACUAUGCUCAUGGCGACAGUCAGCAAACUCACCUGUUGAAGCAAGGAAGAAGCUCCAUGGGCACUGGUCUCAGUGGUGGGAAACGUCCUAGUCAGGAAGAGGACACACAGAGUAUUGGUCCUAAAGUCCAGAGACAGAGCACUAAUUAGGUAAAUAUUUUAGAGCUGUAUUUCUUGCUUUAGAAGAGUAUAUAAUUAACAUAAAUUAAGAUAAUUUCAAAAAUGGAGCAAAUCUCUAUUUUCAAACCAGAAAAUCUUGAGGCAUUAAUUUUUAAGCAAUUUUUACAAACUCAGUUAAUUUUUGGUCAAGAGACAUGCAUCUGUACUGGAGAAAUUGUUGCACCAGUUUUAUAUUCAUCUGAACCAAUGCUCUUUAAAUUAGAGAUGUUUAUGAUUUUGUGGUCAAGUUUUUUCUUAGAAAAAGACAACUUUUUUAUUUCCUUACUAUGU